UUUUUCCACCGGAGCUUGCUCCACCGGAAAAAGAAGAGUGGCGAACGGGUGAGUAACACGUGGGUAACCUGCCCAUCAGAAGGGGAUAACACUUGGAAACAGGUGCUAAUACCGUAUAACAAUCGAAACCGCAUGGUUUUGAUUUGAAAGGCGCUUUCGGGUGUCGCUGAUGGAUGGACCCGCGGUGCAUUAGCUAGUUGGUGAGGUAACGGCUCACCAAGGCCACGAUGCAUAGCCGACCUGAGAGGGUGAUCGGCCACAUUGGGACUGAGACACGGCCCAAACUCCUACGGGAGGCAGCAGUAGGGAAUCUUCGGCAAUGGACGAAAGUCUGACCGAGCAACGCCGCGUGAGUGAAGAAGGUUUUCGGAUCGUAAAACUCUGUUGUUAGAGAAGAACAAGGAUGAGAGUAACUGUUCAUCCCUUGACGGUAUCUAACCAGAAAGCCACGGCUAACUACGUGCCAGCAGCCGCGGUAAUACGUAGGUGGCAAGCGUUGUCCGGAUUUAUUGGGCGUAAAGCGAGCGCAGGCGGUUUCUUAAGUCUGAUGUGAAAGCCCCCGGCUCAACCGGGGAGGGUCAUUGGAAACUGGGAGACUUGAGUGCAGAAGAGGAGAGUGGAAUUCCAUGUGUAGCGGUGAAAUG
rnacentral:rRNA from 1 species